rnacentral:misc_RNA from 1 species
CUUGUGGACUGAGUUUCGACAGUUCAACAAAGGAGGCGAAGCCUGAGGACGACGGUUCAAGAAUUGGCGAGAGGAUAAGUUGUUCUAUAAAGAGAGACAUGACGGAGUUGAUGUGUGAUUUCUGAAUAAGAGGAACGUGGCAGAAGAGAGAUCGGUAACCAUCUGGAAAAUUGACACAUAUACUAUAAUUUUUCACCAGACACUAGUUUUCCACAGAAUUUUGUUUACAGGAAUAUGAGAGAAUAGAAUGGAGGAGGAAGAUGAUG